rnacentral:rRNA from 1 species
AUUGAACGCUGGCGGCAGGCCUAACACAUGCAAGUCGAGCGGUAGCACAGAGAGCUUGCUCUCGGGUGACGAGCGGCGGACGGGUGAGUAAUGUCUGGGAAACUGCCUGAUGGAGGGGGAUAACUACUGGAAACGGUAGCUAAUACCGCAUAACGUCGCAAGACCAAAGAGGGGGACCUUCGGGCCUCUUGCCAUCAGAUGUGCCCGGAUGGGAUUAGCUAGUAGGUGGGGUAACGGCUCACCUAGGCGACGAUCCCUAGCUGGUCUGAGAGGAUGACCAGCCACACUGGAACUGAGACACGGUCCAGACUCCUACGGGAGGCAGCAGUGGGGAAUAUUGCACAAUGGGCGCAAGCCUGAUGCAGCCAUGCCGCGUGUAUGAAGAAGGCCUUCGGGUUGUAAAGUACUUUCAGCGAGGAGGAAGGCAUUGUGGUUAAUAACCACAGUGAUUGACGUUACUCGCAGAAGAAGCACCGGCUAACUCCGUGCCAGCCGCCGCCGUAACAC